GCUGCCUACAUCAUCAUCAAGGCUAUGGUGGUUGAGGCAGAAAGUAUCUCUGAAAAGUCGGUGAACUUCUAUCAGGCUACACAGCGCUACAUCCAAUGAAAACCGAGUAGAUGACUGAGCUUUUGAGUGCAUACUCGCUGCUCUAUGACGUAAAUCAUCCAAGUUGGCAUCACUGACGCGCCGUGUGCUGUAUCCGUGGGAGCUCUUUUUUACCCCCUGCAAUCACGUGCAAGGCGAGGAAAUGAGUAGCAAGAUGUUCGCUGUGCGAUGCGUACUUUGACGGGCCAGGCAUCAAAUUAGAAUGCGAAACUCUUCAAGUAAAUUAAAGUUGUGAGUGAACGGGAGUCCGGGCUGAGGCGUGCGGGUUACCAUAGCAACCCAUUAUCGAGGAUCAUGAAGCACCAACUGCGUUAUAACAGCAUGUUCAGUGCCCUACUGAGAGGACGAGUGAGAAACCCUUUUUUAUGCAGGUAUUAAUUCUGUCCUGUGAAUGCUCGUAAUAUGGGGACAUGAAAAAUGGAGUUUUUGUCUGUCAUCAAAUGCGAGUUAAUUCCCGAAAACCUGGAACGUUUCUCCAAGGAAUGUGUAAGGCGCCUAUAAAGGAAAUUCCACGCCUUAAUAUUUUGUACAUCCCCGAAACAACUGAAUCAAUAGCCAACAUUGUCCCAAAAGUGAGUUCGUUAAUUGAUUAAUUAAUUGGGGCAUUGUGAGCUGUUUGUAACGGAAUUAAUGCUAGUUCAUAAAUGUGUAAAAGCUAGAUCACAAUUUAUUUAAGAACCAAUAAGAGUUAUAAAUUCGUUUAUUCGGAGCUGUGUUCGCGUUUAUGUGGUUGGCGACUUUCUUGUCGUUAGUUAUGAGUUAGUAGGCGGGAAUUAAUUAAAUUAAAUCCGUGGCGUAACGGCUCCAGAGAGCCAAAGCCGACUAGCUUGACUA